CUUGUUUUAUGUACCUACGAAUUUAUUUUGAACAAAAUGCUUACAGUACGUUAUAAACUGAAUAUUUUAGAAAAAUGAUAUUUUUGGUCAUCACUUUUAAACUAAUAAUAAUGGCUUCGUCACAUGUCACCAUACACCCUAGAGGCGUGAACCUAGCCCUGGAGACCUCUUUUCUUUUCGAUUCAACGAACGACCGCCAACAUUUGCCAAUCCUAACUAAACUGAGAUCUGUUAUUGACACAUUGUAUAAAGCGCUCUCCCCACAAAUUUCCAUGAGAGCUAACGAUGUAAAUACUAAAAUAUUGACUGAUUUCUUGACGCAAAUGGGCAAUGUAAUAAUAAAAUAUGAAGAUGAAGAUUUAAUCAACAUUCUAGAAGUCGUAAAUGAAGAAUUGGAGGGCUAUUACGAAAAAAAGAAGACAAUGUACGAUCCAAUUUUGUUUAAUCCAAAACUCAGAAUGUAUUUCAAGAAUGUUAUCAAGCAAUUGAUGAAUGAGAAACCAUCGGAAUUAAGAGAAAGGUUGAAAAAGUUUGUAAAGGGUAUAAAAUCUAACGAAUUGUUGAUGGAAUUUGAUAAUCAUUUCGUUGGGGCAGAUGAGGAGGCUUUGAAAUUACUUGUGAACGAUUUUCAAGAGCAUACGCGAACUGGAAAUGUUUGGAAGUUGUCUAAUUUAGUCAAAGAUACAUUAAAAUACAUAGUUUUUGAUAAAUAUGAAAAACUGAACGACAAAUCGAGGGAAAAAAUUAAAAAUAUCGUUUACGAAGUUUAUGAAAAUGGUAAAAAUAAGGAUUUAACAACUGAUAAAGUGGAAGAGGUGUCAAAAGAUAAGAACAACGUUAGAAAAGAAAAGAUUAGACAUGAUGACAAUGAUGACGAGGACAAUGUAAAAGUAAAAAGUGAUGACAAUAAACUAUCAAAAAAUGAAACAGGCAAUGAAAUUAUAGGUGGAGCAGAAGAGAAAUCAACAGCAACAACGAAUUUAAUUUUCUAUUAACUUUAUUAAUAAAAAUCAUUUUAAUUUUAAAAACUAGGGUCUAGGACGUA